CGUUUAAAUGUAAAAUUUCAUAUAUACGAAAAAGAUAGUCGUAUAAUACGAAAACCUUUUUUGUGUAUUGUAUAAUAGCAUAUGAACAAGUAAAUAUAAAUCUAUUAUUUACUUUUUAGUUCAAACUAUGUGUACCUGAUGCUGUUUGGAACAUUUUGACCAACACAAAGAAAAGUUACUGCAUGAGUGGACUAUUAAACUGAUGAGUGGAUAUUAGGCUGAUAGAGCUUACAAUUAUGGUGGUUUCUAUCAAAACAUGCAAGUUUAAUUUACCUGGAGCAGUCUACUAUGAAAACUUCAUGUCAAAAGCUGGAAUUUUUAUAUUAAUGAUAGGAAAAAUAUUCAAUGGAGGCUGUUUUCAUCUUGCUGUUGUUUAUGGUUGUUUUAAAAGAACCAUUAAACUUAUAAAGGACAACAUUGAUAUUGCCAGAAAGGAAGUGAAGAGACAUAAUUGACUGUUAUUCCUGCACAACGACAAAAAGAAAGUAUGGAGGAAAAAGUUACACAAGUCCCAAAUGAACGCCAUCAAUUAAUCACAAGCUCAGCAAUCAAGAAAACGCAAUCUGAUGGUACUGAAGUUGCAG